rnacentral:lncRNA from 1 species
GGAGAGCGGAGGAAUGAAGGAGAGCAGAGAGGAGAGGCUUGGAGGUAAGAACGAGCAGAGAGGGAGGGCUGGGGAAGCCAGUCUGCAGGGAGGGGAGGGGAGGUGAGGCGCUAUGCUGGGGAGAAGGAGGGGAGAAGGAUGGGAGGUGGCGGAACCCUGCCACUCCUUUCUUGGUUGCUUUGCACCCAUCUGACGUCCUUGCUGGUCAGAGGAUGAAUCUGGCUAGAGCGGAGCAGAACUGAAGAGCAGAGCUAUGCAGCCCUGGAAGCAUCCUAGAGACCAAGACCCUCAGGGGCAAGGGCAGGGUGCUCACUCAGCCACACCGUGGAUCAGCAGCAGGGCAGGACCCCACCCUGUGCCUCCUGUCUCUUUCUCCCGUUAUGACAGCUAGCUCUGAUGAGCACCUACUGUGCACCAGGCACUGUUCUAAGUCUUGGAAUGGGUUUCCACAGUUAGUCCUAAGACAAGCCUGUCAAGUAGGGAGCAUUGCUAUCCCCAUUUUAGAGACGAAGAAGCUGAGGCCUGGAGUAGUCUUGAACCUUGCCCGAGGUCACACUGCCAGGAAGAGGUAGAGCCCACAGGCCACCAGCAUUGAGCUCCUUUCUGACCUCUUAUCUUUGGGGAAGGUUGGCCCAGUUUCCUUCUCCUUUCCUGAAGGAGCGUGUGCGUCCUUGCUGAGACCAGGAAAGGAGGUCUCAGCUUCAUUUGGUAUUCCCUCCCUCCUUAGUAAAGCACGUAAGUGCCUUCUGCGCUCCCGGAACGUCAGGGAACAUCAGCAAACAUCAGUGAAGCGGGAGACGAAUGCCCCCAAACCCGUGCCCCGUGGUGCAGGAAGGGCUGGCUCACUCGGCUGACUUCCAUUAAACAUUUGAUGCAUCACAGAACUGCCGAAAACCAUCCAUCAGGCCAUCCCCCUCCGCCUGCCUCCCUGCCCUGCUCACAGAGGGGGUUCGGCCUCAGCCUGCAUUCCCUGGCUCCAGGGAAGAGAGAGGAGAGGGGCAACACCCAGCCAUGGCUGUGAUGCUAGUAAGAGCACCAUGUAUUGAAUGUCAGUGUGCCCAGGCAGACCUCAGCACAUUACAGAUUUUAUCUCAUUGAACCCCAUGAUCGCUGAUAGGUGUGGCUGUUAUCGUUCAGUAGAUGUGGAACCUGACAUCAAAGAGGGCCAUAGUCACUCUGAAGGAGCUAGGGCCGCACUGAGCCCAGGGAUAUGAGUUGAGAGCCCCCUCCGCCCUUCUGCAUUCCUCGAUGGGGUGGAGCAGAUCAGGUACUGCACAGUGGGAUGGGGCCAGAGCAGCACAGUGCAUUUAGUGAUUAGUGACCCGUGGAGGUCAGCCCCGGCCAGAGCAGGUUGGGGGACCCCAGCACAGGGUGAGUUGCAGGACAGCGGUCCAUGGGUAGUCCAAGGCACUCUGUCCUUCCCUCCACCCGGUUACUGCAGCCUGACCAAGUUUUCCGGGCUCCCCCUUCUCCCUGGGGACCCCAUUCAAUCAGAGGCCAGUCUCUUUGGUUCUCCCAGCUAGAUGUUCCUGAAUUCACAAUCUCACCCCCUUUCCUUCCAUAUCAUGGCCCCUCUCGUGGGGGACUGCCCCAGCCUCCUGCUGGUCUCUGGCCUCACCUUGCCAAUUUCUUCUCCCCACUGUAGCCAGAGGGAUUGUUCUAGAACCCAUGUCUGCCCUCUGGUUCUUCCACUUAAAACUCAACCUGACUGCCUCACAUGGGAUGGAGCCCACAUUGUGCACUCAGCCUGACCUCCCCAGGACCCUCCUGCCCGUCCCUUGCUGGCUGCCCCCAUGCUCAUGCUGGGGUCUCGGCUGUGCUGUGCUCGCUGCAGGAGAGCCAUCCGCUGCUCCUUGGCUGGUGAAUUUCUGCUUAUCGUUCAAACUCCAAUGCAGAGCACCUUUCUUCCAGGGAGUCCUCCCUGAUAACCUUUAUGUGCUUCAUCCCAACCAGCACAAACCGCACUGUCCCAUUUGCUUCCCUGCUUGUCUGUCACCCUCUAUUGAUCAUCAGUUCCAGGAGGGCAGCGAAUGUGCCCCCUUCCCCACUGCUCCCCUAGAGUAACAUGGGGGCUGCUCCACAGCAGGCCCUCCAGGAAUGGAUGGCUGCAUGAUGAAUGAAUGAAUGAUGCCUGAUACGGCUAAGACUGGAAUCCCCCAAGGUGCAACAAGGGUCGGGGACUCAGACGCAGGUGGCAACCUAGCAGUGGGGAGGUGAUGUGGUGUUUGGAGUUUAACUGACCCCAGUGCUUACAAGCUGUGUGGCCUCUGCCUGCCUCAGUUUGCUUGCAUGCAACAUGGGUAUAAUGACAACUCCUUUACUGAGAAUUUGUCCUGAGAGGCCCUGGAGAUAAUACCUGGGCAGUGCCCAGCCCUGUGCUAGGCACAGAGGAGGAUAAGGUGGGGCUCCCUCUGGGGCUUGAGGCCAGGGUCAGGCUGCAAGCUUCUCUGAGACAGCAUGUGGGGCUGACCUGGCUCUGCAAUCAGGAGGACUGUGAGUCCUGAGGCUAUAGUCUAGGCACACAAGAGGAGGCAGGGGCAAGACACUCCCCAUGCUCCUCUGGGCUGGCCUCAGCAUGCCAAGGCUGGGCUCUCACCAUUAGCUCAUCCUUCCUUUGAAUGGAGCCAAUGGCAAUCAGGAGGACCGUGAGUCUUGGGGCUAUAGUCCAGGCACACAAGUGGGGGCAGAGGCAAGACAUUCCCCACGCCUCUCUGGGCUAGCCUCAGCAUGUGGAGCCCGGGCUUUCACCACUAGCUCAUCCUUCCUUCGAAUGGAGCCAAAGUUAGAACUGG